rnacentral:rRNA from 1 species
GACGAACGCUGGCGGCGUGCUUAACACAUGCAAGUCGAACGGAAAGGCCUGCUUUCCCUUGUGGAUUGCGGGUACUCGAGUGGCGAACGGGUGAGUAAAACGUGAGUGAUCUGCCCCCAACUUGGGUAUAAGCCUGGGAAACUGGGUCUAAUUCCCGAUAGGACUGCAGGGUGGUGCCUGUGGUGGAAAACGAUUUUCUAGUGGUUGGGGAUGAGCUCGCGGCCUAUCAGCUUGUUGGUGGGGUAAUGGCCUACCAAGGCGGCGACGGGUAGCCGGCCUGGGAGGGUGGACGGCCACAUUGGGACUGAGAUACGGCCCAGACUCCUACGGGAGGCAGCAGUGGGGAAUAUUGCACAAUGGGCGGAAGCCUGAUGCAGCGACGCCGCGUGGGGGAUGACGGCCUUCGGGUUGUAAACUCCUUUCGACCGCGAGGAAGCCACCUGGUUGGAAGGGUGGUGACGGUAGUGGUAGAAGAAGCACCGGCUAACUACGUG